rnacentral:lncRNA from 1 species
CCGGAGAUGCAAGAGAGCCUGAUGGAGUCCCUGGUUCAGGAAGAUAUCUUGGAGAAGGAAAUGACAAUCCACUCCAGUAUUCUUGCCAGGAAAAUUCCAUGGACAGAGGAGCCUUGCAGACUACAGUCCAUGGGGUCGCAGAGUCAGGCAGGACUGAGCGUGUACAGUGGUCGGAGGACAUGGGAGGGAGACACACACACACUACAGUGUCUUUUCCUUCUGGACCGGAGCAGCUGUGUUUUCUUCACAGUGAAUGAAUGGAAACAGCUGGAGUACUUGUCUCAGGAAGUGGGCCAGCCUAAGUCUUCAAGGAGAAGGAAGUAUGAAAUUGAGUGAGGGGCCAGCUGGGGACUUUGCACCCUACCAGAUGUAUUUGAACAUGUGAGGAAGGUAUUAAAAAAAAUUACUGAGGUAUAGUUGAUUUACAAUGUUGUAUUAAUUUCUACUAUACAGCAAAUUUAUUCGGUUAAACAUUAUAUAUAUUCUUUAUCAUAUUCUUGUCCAUUAUGGUUUAUCACAGCAUACUGAAUAUAGCUUUUUGUGCUACACAAUCAGACUUUGUUGUUUAUUCAUUCUUUUUAUACUAGUUUGCAUCUGCUACUCCCAAACACCCAGUCCAUCCCUCCCCUCAUGUCUUUGGCAACUCCAAGUCUGUUUCUGAUUUGCAGAUAAGUUCCUUUCUGUCAUAUUUUAGAUUCCACAAAUAAGCGAUAUCAUAUGGCAUUUGUCUUUUCCUGCGUUACUUUGCUCAGUAUGAUAAUCUCUAGGUCCAUCCAUGUUGCUGCAACUGACAUUGUCUCAUUCUUUUUCAGGGCUGAGGAAUACUCCAUUGUACAUAUGUAAAACAUUCUUUACCCAUCCUCUGUUAAUGGACAUUGAGGUUGUUUUCCCAUCUUGGCUAUGUUAAACAGUGUCUGCUAAGAAUAUUGGGUUGCAAGUAUCUUUUUGAAUUAUAGUUUUGUCUGGUUACAUGCCAAGGAGUGGGAUUGCUGGAUCAUAUGGAAACCCUACUUUCAGUUUUUUGAGGAACCUCUGCACCAUUGUCCACAGUGCCACAUCAGUUUACCUUCUCACCCACAGUGUAGAAGGUUUCCCUUUUCUCCACACCUUCUCCAGCACCAGGGGGUGCCUUUUGGAUGUUUGCAGUGAUUGGAAUGCACUAGCGGCUUUUGGGAAGUGUUAGCCAGGCAUUGGAGAAGGAAAUGGCAACCCACUCCAGUAUUCUUGCCUGGAGAAUCCCAGGGACGGGGGAGCCUGGUGGGCUUCCGUCUAUGGGGUCACAUAGAGUUGGACACAACUGAAGCGACUUAGGGGCAGCAGCAGCAGCAGCCAGGGC